rnacentral:rRNA from 1 species
CCUACGGGAGGCAGCAGUGAGGAAUUUUCCGCAAUGGGCGAAAGCCUGACGGAGCAAUACCGCGUGAGGGAUGAAGGAUUUUGGUCUGUAAACCUCUUUUCUCAAGAAAGAAGUUCUGACGGUACUUGAGGAAUAAGCAUCGGCUAACUCCGUGCCAGCAGCCGCGGUAAUACGGGGGAUGCAAGCGUUAUCCGGAAUGAUUGGGCGUAAAGCGCCUGUAGGUUGUUUAUUAAGUCCGUUGUUAAAGCCUAGGGCUCAACCCUAGAAAAGCAAUGGAAACUAGUAGACUAGAGUAUGGCAGGGGUAGAGGGAAUUUCUAGUGUAGCGGUGAAAUGCGUAGAUAUUAGAAAGAACACCGGUGGCGAAAGCGCUCUACUGGACCAUUACUGACACUCAGAGGCGAAAGCUAGGGUAGCAAAAGGGAUUAGAUACCCCUGUAGUCCUAGCCGUAAACGAUGGAUACUAGAUGUUGUGCAUUAUGUACAGUAUCGUAGCUAACGCGUUAAGUAUCCCGCCUGGGGUAGUACGCUCGCAAGGGUGAAACUCAAAGGAAUUGACGGCUGNGNGNGCGAGACGACACGAGGGAGAGG